GCGGCCGCGCGGUAGGGCCGGGUGGCACAGGAGAGGCCUAGGGUCCGCUUCCAGCCCCCUCCGCUGCCGGGUGCUCCCGGGUCAGCCCGCGCCUGGCUCCUGGGCCGGGGAGCCGCGGGGCUGGAGGCCGCGCUUGCAGACCAGCCCUCUGCGCUCCACCGGGGAGGGGCCGAGAAGCGCAGCUCCAGACCCAGCGGCCAGCACAAAUAACAGGCUUGGCAGAGGCGAACGCAAAAGGUCGAGCUUUCCGAUUUCGAGUAGAGUGCCUUCCGCGUCGCUGCCUCCAGGGACUCUCCCGGGAGAGACCCGCGCGCUCCCGGGUUCGGGGAAGUCGCGGAUGGGCGGCAGGGAGGGCGAGGGAAGGAGGGGUGCCGAGGCCGCCCCUGUGGCUCUCGGGAAGGUCACCAGAUAGACGCCAGCUCGAAUGCCGCCUCCCGUCUGCUCC
rnacentral:lncRNA from 1 species